AACGUAGGAGACAAACGUUAUCCGGAGUUACUGGGCGUAAAGGGCGUGUAGGCGGUACGUUAAGUCUGGCGUGAAAGCUCUCGGCUAAACCGGGAGAGGUCGUUGGAUACUGGCAAACUAGAGGACGGUAGAGGCGUGUGGAAUUCCGGGUGUAGUGGUGAAAUGCGUAGAGAUCCGGAGGAACACCGGUGGCGAAGGCGGCAUCCUGGACCGGCAUUGACGCUGAGGCACGAAAGCGUGGGGAGCAAACAGG
rnacentral:rRNA from 1 species